rnacentral:rRNA from 1 species
GAUAUGUCCUAUUAGCUAGUUGGCGGGAUAAAAGCCCACCAAGGCGAUGAUAGGUAGCUGGUCUAAGAGGAUGAACAGCCACAAUGGGAUUGAGAUACGGCCCAUAUUCCUACGGGAAGCAGCAGUAGGGAAUCUUCCACAAUGGGCGAAAGCCUGAUGGAGCAAUGCCAUGUGAACGAUGAAGGCCAGACAGGUCGUAAAGUUCUUUUAGAGGGGAAAAAUUUGAUGGUACCCUCUGAAUAAGUGACAGCAAACUAUGUGCCAGCAGCUGCGGUAAUACAUAGGUCGCGAGCGUUAUUCGGAUUUAUUGGGCGUAAAGCAAGCGCAGGCGGAUGAAUAAGUUCUGCAUUAAAAGCAGCUGCUUAACAGUUGUUUGUGCCGAAUACUAUUCAUCUAGAAUGUGGUAGGAAGUUUUGGAAUUAAAUAUGGAGCGGUGGAAUGUGUAGAUAUAUUUAAGAACACCAGAGGCGAAGGCGAAAACUUAGGCCAUUAUUGACGCUUAGGCUUGAAAGUGUGGGUAGCAAAUGGGAUUAGAUACCCCAGUAGUCCACACCGUAAACGAUGGGUAUUAGAUGUCGGGAUUUGUGUUUCGGCGUUGUAGCUUACGUGUUAAAUACCCCGCCUGGGUAGUACAUAUGCAAAUAUGAAACUCAAAGGAAUUGACGGGGACCUGAACAAGUGGUGGAACAUGUUGCUUAAUUCGAUAAUACACGAAAAACCUUACCAAGGUUUGACAUCCUUUGCAAAGCCAUAGAAAUAUGGUGGAGGUUAUCAGAGUGACAGGUGGUGCAUGGUUGUCGUCAGCUCGUGUCAUGAGAUGUUUGGUUAAGUCCCGCAACGAGCGCAACCCUACUCUUUAGUUGAUUGUCUAAAGAGACUGAACAGUAAUGUAUAGGAAGGA